GACGAACGCUGGCGGCGUGCUUAACACAUGCAAGUCGAACGAAGUGGCGAACGGGUGAGUAACGCGUAAUCAACCUGCCCUUCAGAGGGGGACAACAGUUGGAAACGACUGCUAAUACCGCAUACUGAAGGAGGGGAUUGCGUCUGAUUAGCUCGUUGGGGGGGUAACGGCCCACCAAGGCGAUGAGCAGUAGCCGGUCUGAGAGGAUGAACGGCCACAUGGGGAAUGAGACACGGCCCAGACUCCUACGGGAGGCAGCAGUGGGGAAUCUUCCGCAAUGGACGAAAGUCUGACGGAGCAACGCCGCGUGAGUGAUGACGGCCUUCGGGGUGUAAAGCUCUGUUAAUCGGGACGCGGUACCGGAAUAGAAAGCCACGGCUAACUACGUGCCAGCAGCCGCGGUAAUUC
rnacentral:rRNA from 1 species